rnacentral:rRNA from 1 species
AGACCCGAAACCCGGUGAUCUAGCCAUGGGCAGGUUGAAGGUUGGGUAACACUAACUGGAGGACCGAACCGACUAAUGUUGAAAAAUUAGCGGAUGACCUGUGGCUGGGGGUGAAAGGCCAAUCAAACCGGGAGAUAGCUGGUUCUCCCCGAAAGCUAUUUAGGUAGCGCCUCGUGAAUUCAUCUCCGGGGGUAGAGCACUGUUUCGGCUAGGGGGCCAUCCCGGCUUACCAACCCGAUGCAAACUGCGAAUACCGGAGAAUGUUAUCACGGGAGACACACGGCGGGUGCUAACGUCCGUCGUGAAGAGGGAAACAACCCAGACCGCCAGCUAAGGUCCCAAAGUCAUGGUUAAGUGGGAAACGAUGUGGGAAGGCCCAGACAGCCAGGAUGUUGGCUUAGAAGCAGCCAUCAUUUAAAGAAAGCGUAAUAGCUCACUGGUCGAGUCGGCCUGCGCGGAAGAUGUAACGGGGCUAAACCAUGCACCGAAGCUGCGGCAGCGACGCUGAUGCGUUGUUGGGUAGGGGAGCGUUCUGUAAGCCUGCGAAGGUGGCCUGUGAGGGUUGCUGGAGGUAUCAGAAGUGCGAAUGCUGACAUAAGUAACGAUAAAGCGGGUGAAAAGC